AUUGUUAACUUGAAGAGCAUUCAGCGUCUGAUUUUUCAAACUAUGAGGGGGAGACAAUUAUUAUUACUUGAGUUACUAUGCCAAGUUGCUUUCGUUUAAGAUGUGUUCAGCCACUCAGGCGAUGAUACCACAGCUAAUAAAAUCGUGGGUGGGGAAUACAUCGGAAUUGAAGAAGUUCCUUUUCAAGCUUUUGUGUUAACAGAUAAGAAUACUUGUGUAGGGGUCAUAUAUAAUGAAGAAUAUAUUGUGACUGCCGCACAUUGUCUUCAAGAUAUCAAAAGAGUUCAAAUAAGAGUGGGAUUUAACAGUUGGUACGAUUCGGAAGAAAAAUAUCCAUACAUGAAUGGAACCUAUACCGUGCAUGAAAAAUAUAACAAUCCUGGAAAGAAUACUAAUUUUGAUUAUGACAUAGCACUCAUUAAAUUAUUAAAAAAGUUGUUGAUGGUGUUAAAAUAGCCAAAGCCACCUUCGUCGAACGAGGAAAGGAGCUUGCUGAUGGUACAAACUGCACAGUGUCUGGAUGGGGCUCUACAAUUAAAGGCGGGGCACCCUCUGCGUAUUUAAAGUCAGCCUUUCUUGAGAAAGUAAAUUAUAAGGAAUGUUCAAAAGACUACGAAAAAUAUCUAAC